GAUUACUGUGGACGCGCGCUAAUCGAACCAUCGAGAGUGAUCGAACAUAGGAUCGAACUUACACUCAACGAUCGACCUAUAACUAUCGCAUAUCGUAAACUGAACCGUCAACGAAUUCAGAGGAAACACACGUGAGUUUAUUGUUUAUUUGAUUAUUCGGUGAUUGGAAAGUAAAAUGGGGAAAAAAAGAAAACAAGGUGAUGACAAAGAUGAAUUUGAAUUUGAUCCCAUGCCAAAGCAUCUACAGGUUGCUCACAUUAAAAACCAAGAGAAACGUCUUAUAGUUAUACUGGAUGGCGCUCAACUAGAAUCCGUCAAAGUCGGCAAUAGCUUUGAGCUAUUAAACUGCGACGACCAUGCUAAUAUACUAAAGAGAAAUAAUCGGGACCCAGGGACUGCCAGGCCGGACAUCGCACAUCAGUGCCUCUUAAUGUUGUUGGAUAGCCCCUUGAACAGGGCUGGAUUACUCCAAGUUUAUGUUCACACGGAAAAAAAUGUCUUGAUCGAAGUGAACCCGCAAACUAGGAUACCGAGGACUUUCAAGCGGUUUGCUGGUCUGAUGGUACAACUCCUUCACAAGUUCAAUGUCAGAGCUUCUGACGGACCAAUGAAACUACUUAAAGUUAUUAAGAAUCCCGUAACCGAUCAUCUCCCUGUAGGCUGCCGCAAGUUAGCUAUGUCCUUCAGCGCUAAAAAAGUUCAAAACCCCAGGGAAUUUGUUACUGCUGACGAACCUAUCGCCAUUGUUGUAGGGGCCAUGGCCCAUGGUCAAGUUAAGCCAGAAUAUGCCGAAGAUACAAUAUCUAUAAGUAAUUAUCCUCUUUCGGGUGCGUUGACUUGUACCAAAUUGUGCUCUGCAUUUGAAGAAGUUUGGGGAAUUAUUUAGAUCGGUGAACAAUAUGCCGGUGUAGAUUCAUUGGAAUUUUACGCUGCUGCAAGUUCAUAUCUGUACAUUGCAAAAUACGCUCCUACAAUCAAAAAUGUGUCAUCGAAUUUUUCAACAGAAUUUGAGCGACUGAUGCGAGCGUUUGGCUUUAGCUUGGAGAAAGCAUAAGAGCUAGCACCGAAACGCCUAUUGUGGGAGGUUACUGAACUCCCUUCUCCGUCGGCUAUACAUACCUAUAUGUAUGUAUGAAAUUUUGUUUCGUCAUCAUUGCAAUAUGGCUGACAACGUCGUCCCAUGCACGUAGACUGGUCAGCUCCAUAAAAUAAUUUGCUAAUAUUUGGUAUUUCGAGAGGGUGUAGUUGGAAUGGUUGUUGGGAGGGUUUUCCCCAGUACAUCCGCCAUGUUUUAUAAAACUAACGGAACUCGAUGUGCAUUGAUGUCACCGUCGACGUAUUAUAUCUGAAAUGUAAAUUAUUAUACAGCCUUUAGAUGGAUGAAUUGAUUUUUAAAUGGUGACAAUAUUUAUGACAUUUGUUUUGGUGUUUGUAAUUGUGAAUAUU